UUCGUUCAAACCAAAAAUUGCUGUCGAAUACUGAUGUCUUUUCAACCCGAGAUUGCGAAAACAUUUCUCACCAAUAAAGUUUGAUUGACUUCCUGAGUCGAUAAGAAUUCGCACUUGUUGAAAUGCUCCAUACCUAUCACGUAUAUCUACCGCUGCAGUAGCUAACAAAACAGUACUACAGUUCGAAUACGUAUUACCCGAUAGAGUGGAAGAAAUUGAAUUGUUCUCUAUGCUGGAAGUCGAAGAGUUAUUAUUUUCAACUUUUGGUUUCGAUAAUUCUGGGUUAUUCUUUGAAACGUGUAUCAACGAAUGAUGACGACUGUUACAUGUACGACAUUUGAAUGAAGAAGUGCAAUUUUGAAGGCUAUGAGAAUGAUGUUCGUCUUUUAAAAAAGAUAGAAGAUAUCUAAACUUCUCAACAUUAGAAAGAUUGGAAUUUUCAUGAAUCAAUUUCUCGAAGAGAUCAUGAAAGGUUGACCAAGUUUUCGGAUCUCCGGCAAAGCAAGGUAUAUUAAGUGGUGGAAGUUUUGCAGUAGCCUCAACACUGAGU